GACGAACGCUGGCGGCGUGCUUAACACAUGCAAGUCGAACGGAAAGGCCCUGCUUUUGUGGGGUGCUCGAGUGGCGAACGGGUGAGUAACACGUGAGUAACCUGCCCUUGACUUUGGGAUAACUUCAGGAAACUGGGGCUAAUACCGGAUAGGAGCUCCUGCUGCAUGGUGGGGGUUGGAAAGUUUCGGCGGUUGGGGAUGGACUCGCGGCUUAUCAGCUUGUUGGUGGGGUAGUGGCUUACCAAGGCUUUGACGGGUAGCCGGCCUGAGAGGGUGACCGGCCACAUUGGGACUGAGAUACGGCCCAGACUCCUACGGGAGGCAGCAGUGGGGAAUAUUGCACAAUGGGCGGAAGCCUGAUGCAGCAACGCCGCGUGCGGGAUGACGGCCUUCGGGUUGUAAACCGCCUUCGCCUGAGACGAAGCGUGAGUGACGGUAAUGGGUAAAGAAGCACCGGCUAACUACGUGCCAGCCGCCGCAGUAA
rnacentral:rRNA from 1 species